CUGAGGAGUACAAGCGUGAUCAGGCUUCAGAAAGAAGAUCCUGUGCCUACUGUGUCUCUGCCACAACCCUGAAGACCUAUCUUACAGGAUUUUCUUCACAGCCCAUCAAUGGUACUACUCAGCCUCCUGGGGCCAAAUCCUCAGGGGCCCUCACUCAUACAGAAGUGAGCUGUGGGAUGGUUUGGCCAAUCCAGAGGCUAGGCUGAUUGGCCUUGUGAAGGGUGAAAGAUGGCUUCUCAGACCCUCUGUAGACAGGGAACAAGGAACUCUGCUGGGCCCCUGCAGAGCGUGGUCCUUCUCUCCUACAUGCAGUGAAGGUGGAGGUUAUUGCUGCUGGGAGCCUCUGGGGAGCAGCUUGUGGGAGAUAUGGCGUGGGAGUCCAAGGAUCUGGCACUCAGAAACAGCCCGUCAGGAACAGGAGUGCAAGGGGAAAGGUUGGAAGAAUAGUCCAUGUGGCUUGUACAGCCCCAAACACUUCCUUUCCUCUGGGUGGUGGGCAUCUCCAGACCUGAUGGGGCACUGUGCCGGCUGACAGAGCCAGCUCUGAUGCUGUGUGAGACAGCUGACAGAACAGCUGUGCAGCCCCCUUAUGUCUCCUCAAGUGUCACUCAUUCAGGGAGCCGCAAACACUACCCCAUGCUGGCAUCAGGCUCCCCAGUGACUCCUGCCACCACCUCUGGCAGUGUGGUGCAGUGGAGUUAAGGCCUCCCCUCCCCUGGGGGAAAGGUCAUGGCUGGGCAGCCUCAGAACAUCUCUCGUGCUGACACGGCCACAGUGAGCCUAUCCCCCCAGAAUUUGCAUACCAUGCCUUGGGUGUGGAUCUCAGCUGAUCCACAGAGCUGUGAUUGCUCACCUUUGGAGCAGCAGAGUCAGGAUUGGUCUUCUAGAGCGGGUCAAUGUUGAGCAGUGAUUAAAAUAAUUGGAAACAGGUGCGUGAGCUCUGAUCGCACCAGCCAAAGUGGAGGAGGAGCGGUGGGGGAGUAUUGCUCUCCCAAGCCAGGGUAAGGAAGCCAUGCCCCACCUCCCAAGGCCUUUAUCCCCUGCUGUUGAGUAACACCAAGUAUUUCCAAUCCUACCCCCACCUCAAGGCCCACGUCUGCAGCUCUCCUGCUUUGAAGAGCUAUGCCUGAUUCUUAUCCUAUUGCAAAUGCAGCCCAUGACCUGUAUUAAGCAGGUGUAACAGCAAGCCAGCUGUUGGGAAGAACAAAAGAAGCGGCUUGCCAGUGUCCAGAUUCAGGCAUCUGUUACAAAUGCUUGUAGAACUGUAAAGGGUCUGAUUUGUUUUUAAGUGAAUAAAUAAAAAGGUCUUUUCCCCAUUCCAGAAGAAACAAGGAUCAUACCAUAUUCACUUCAGCCCUGCACAGAAAUAAUGGUGAAAAUCUCAGUCUCAAGAACAGAAACUUCAGCAAUGAACCGCUGAAGCUGUUGUCCACAUAAUUAGGUGAACCUUAGAGAAAAUGUAACAUACAAACUGAGCUCAAAGCGGGAGAUUACGCAUUAUUCAAAAAUGAGAGAGAGAAAGAGAGAGAGAUAAGCCUAAAAUACACUCCUGAGAAAGGACUGAAUAAAGACUGCAGGAUUUGGCCCCUGAUGUCUACAAUGCUCUUCCUAUAUACACAUAAACUCCCAUUGAUAGGAGUGGACGAUUUUAUCCACAGAUGCACGGGGAUUGACUCUGUAACUUUCACUCAUGCUGGCAAGCACUUACACAAGAAAUCCCACAGAUACUUUAAUUUCUCAUGCUUUCUCAGAAUAACCCUUUGUAAACCUUACACUGAAAUCUGAUUCCUCAGCAAAAUUUUCUUUCCUCCACCACGCAUCCAGGCUGCUUGAUUAUUGGCGGAUAUUGCUCCUGGGGACUGGGAUUCUGCCAUUUGGGGGAAUUUUUUUGAUUAGAUAAAAUAAUCAUUGACAUUAGAAAAGAAAUCUCUCAUAUAAAGAAUUACAUGGACUUUGCAAACCAACCGAAGGAAUAGAAGACAAGUCGGGUUUUGGGAUAACAGAUCUGGGACUUGAUUUUUUGUAAAUUAUGCAAGCGGUAUUGGUGCAUGUGCUUAGAAUCUGAUGCAAUUCCCAUUGGAGUCAAUGAAAAAAGGCUUUCACUGACUUCAGUUGAACUGGACCAGACCCUAUUGCAUGUGCACUUACAGUGCAAAGAUUUGUGCAAGCGCACGGCCAGACAGGUUCCUAUCAAGCCGCAU